rnacentral:rRNA from 1 species
AUUGAACGCUGGCGGCAUGCCUUACACAUGCAAGUCGAACGGCAGCGCGGGGCAACCUGGCGGCGAGUGGCGAACGGGUGAGUAAUAUAUCGGAACAUACCCUAGAGUGGGGGAUAACGUAGCGAAAGUUACGCUAAUACCGCAUACGCACUAAGGUGGAAAGUGGGGGAUUCGCAAGAACCUCAUGCUCAUGGAGUGGCCGAUAUCUGAUUAGCUAGUUGGUGAGGUAAAGGCUCACCAAGGCGACGAUCAGUAGCUGGUUUGAGAGAACGACCAGCCACACUGGAACUGAGACACGGUCCAGACUCCUACGGAGGCAGCAGUGGGGAAUUUUGGGACAAUGGGGGCAACCCUGAUCCAGCAAUGCCGCGUGAGUGAAGAAGGCCUUCGGGUUG